AGAGUUUGAUCCUGGCUCAGGAUGAACGCUGGCGGCGUGCUUAACACAUGCAAGUCGAACGAAGCACUUUAUUUGAUUUCCUUCGGGACUGAUUAUUUUGUGACUGAGUGGCGGACGGGUGAGUAACGCGUGGGUAACCUGCCUUGUACAGGGGGAUAACAGUUGGAAACGGCUGCUAAUACCGCAUAAGCGCACGGCAUCGCAUGAUGCAGUGUGAAAAACUCCGGUGGUAUAAGAUGGACCCGCGUUGGAUUAGCCAGUUGGUGAGGUAAUGGCCCACCAAGGCGACGAUCCAUAGCCGACCUGAGAGGGUGACCGGCCACAUUGGGACUGAGACACGGCCCAAACUCCUACGGGAGGCAGCAGUGGGGAAUAUUGCACAAUGGGCGAAAGCCUGAUGCAGCGACGCCGCGUGAGCGAAGAAGUAUUUCGGUAUGUAAAGCUCUAUCAGCAGGGAAGAUAAUGACGGUACCUGACUAAGAAGCACCGGCUAAAUACGUGCCAGCAGCCGCGGUAAUACGUAUGGUGCAAGCGUUAUCCGGAUUUACUGGGUGUAAAGGGAGCGCAGGCGGUGCGGCAAGUCUGAUGUGAAAGCCCGGGGCUCAACCCCGGUACUGCAUUGGAAACUGUCGUACUAGAGUGUCGGAGGGGUAAGCGGAAUUCCUAGUGUAGCGGUGAAAUGCGUAGAUAUUAGGAGGAACACCAGUGGCGAAGGCGGCUUACUGGACGAUAACUGACGCUGAGGCUCGAAAGCGUGGGGAGCAAACAGGAUUAGAUACCCUGGUAGUCCACGCCGUAAACGAUGAA
rnacentral:rRNA from 1 species